rnacentral:rRNA from 1 species
UACGGAGGGGGCUAGCGUUGUUCGGAAUUACUGGGCGUAAAGCGCACGUAGGCGGUUUUGUAAGUUAGAGGUGAAAGCCCAGGGCUUAACCCUGGAAUUGCCUUUAAGACUGCAUCGCUAGAAUCGUGGAGAGGUGAGUGGAAUUCCGAGUGUAGAGGUGAAAUUCGUAGAUAUUCGGAAGAACACCAGUGGCGAAGGCGACUCACUGGACACGUAUUGACGCUGAGGUGCGAAAGCGUGGGGAGCAAACAGG